AGAGAAACCAUACUGUGUCUGAUCUCCCUUUUUCUUCAUUGGGCAUGGAUACAUACAUAUAACAAUACAUAAUGCUGAUCACCUGAAAAAGCAUUAAUGUACUAAAAUGAGUGCACCUUCAAGCUAAAAGUAGUAUAUUUUGUCAAGGGUUAGAAUUACUUACUAUCAGAGAUGUUGUUGCAUGUACGGGUCAUGAUGUCAAUUUAUGUACAAGCAUAAGACAGUUAAAAACAUCAGGAUGCUUUUAUUACCACAGUAUCUUCAUAGAUUUCCUGACACAUGCAAGCCCUCAUCAUGAAUUUAGUACUAACCCUCAGUGUCAAUCAUUCCUUCCUUCUUUCGUUAUUAUGCUUUUUUAUGUAAGUUAUCCAGGGCUAGCCUUCUGUGUCA
rnacentral:lncRNA from 1 species